ensembl:lncRNA
UUUGGCAGUUGAAUUUGUUUUGAAUUUGUUUUGUUUUUAUUUUGGUACCAGAGAUCAAACUCAGGACCUUGCGCUUGCAAGGUGGACACCGGAACUGCUGAGCUAAAUCCCCGGCCCUCCAUGCUUUUGAAUUUAAAGAAUUUUUUUUUUGAGACAGAGUCUAACUAUGUAGUUCAGAUGGCCUUGAGCUCACUGUGGAGAACAGGCUGGCCUCAAACUCACAGCAAUCCUCCUGCCUCAGCCUACUGAUUGCUAGGACUACAGAUUGUGUUUGCUCAUCACGGUGAAGGACUUGAACACCAGAAAUGCACCUUUGGUUGUGCAGGAGACUUAUGCCAGGGUAACCUGCCAAGCUCUAGUAACCCCGGGGGAUGGACAAGCCUGUCCAUGAGUCCUAUCUUUGCAUCUUUUAGAGUGACAAGUCCCUGAAUACAAUGCAGGCUGCACCUACAGGGGACCCUCCCACAAAAAAGGGGUCAGAACCAAGGGUAUUCAUUGGCACAUACAGCCCACCAGUUUAUCUCUGUGUAUUUACCAGAUUGUGCCCUAAAUAUUAAAUCCUAAUUCCUACCCAUUUUGGUACUAUUUUUAAAUUAUAAUUAUGAUAUAAGCAGUGUGAUUUGAAAAGAAAAACCUCUAAUUUGGGGGUUUUUUGUAUUUUUUGGUGGGGGGUACCAGGGAUCAAAGUCGGGACCUUGAGCUUCCGAGGCAGGCAAGGCACCACUGAGCUAAAUCCCUGGCCCUAAUUUGAUUUUUUUAAAAGUUAUUUUCAGAUCUAUUAAUGACCAUACAAUAUAAUGUUCAAAAUGUAUAAUAACAGUUUAAACAUAUCAAUUUUCAAAACUUUGAAAUAGGUCUUUUUUCAGGAACUAUAUAGAAUCUUAGCCCAUUUUACACUUUCAAAAAUCUAGCACAAACCUAUUACCAGGGCCAUCAAGGAAAUGCAACCCCAAGAGGGACAAAGUCACCCAUCACACCCAUCAGCCUUUGUCUUCCAGUUCAGACACCUGCGUGGUAACAACAUUAAGACUUUCUAGGCUGAAUGAAUGACCUCUAAUUUGCCCCAGGUAACUAUACAGAUCAUUUGACCUGUCCAGUGAGAGUGCCAAAAAAUAUUAUCUUGACAUUUUUUAAAUGGUGCUUUACCUCUAAAAAGGUAUGAUGUUAGUUAAGUUAUGGAUUUGUAAAUGUACAAUAAAAAUUGAUCCUUUAGAAGUUACAUUGUUUUCCAUCUCCCUGAAAUCUUCUCCCCACCCUCAACCCAACCUGAAUUUCCUACCCAUCCACCAAGACUCAGCUUUCAUUUUUGUACUUGUCCUUUCCUGUCAUGAUGUAAAGUGAUCAGAACUUCCUUUGGAGUCGAGGAAAAUGCCUGAAUUUC